rnacentral:rRNA from 11 species
GAAGACUACCUUAAUAUCCUAAAAGCAACAGGUCCAAUGAUUUUGGCUGAUAAGCAGGGUCAAUCCAGGUGAGUGCUUGGAUGGAAGACCACCAAUGAAUGCCAGUGCUGUAGGCUAUA